rnacentral:rRNA from 1 species
CCUACGGGUGGCAGCAGUGAGGAAUAUUGGUCAAUGGUCGGGAGACUGAACCAGCCAAGCCGCGUGAGGGAUGAAGGUACAGAGUAUCGUAAACCUCUUUUGUCAGGGAACAAAGGCGGGGACGUGUCCCCGGAUGAGUGUACCUGAAGAAAAAGCAUCGGCUAACUCCGUGCCAGCAGCCGCGGUAAUACGGGGGAUGCGAGCGUUAUCCGGAUUUAUUGGGUUUAAAGGGUUCGCAGGCGGUCUGUUAAGUCCGCGGUAAAAGCCCGGGGCUCAACCCCGGCCCGCCGUUGAAACUGGCAGUCUCGAGUUGGAGAGAAGUAUGCGGAAUGCGCGGUGUAGCGGUGAAAUGCAUAGAUAUCGCGCAGAACUCCGAUUGCGAAGGCAGCAUGCCGGCUCCACACUGACGCUGAGGCACGAAAGCGUGGGUAUCGAACAGGAUUAGAUACCCCAGUAGUC